GCCAUAGAGGCUCCAUGUUAAAUAUUACCCUCCAUUGUAUAGAGCAAGGAGACUGUUACGAGGAACCGCGUCCUUGCCAAAUUAGAUGUUUACCUUCAGAAAUUGUCCUGGAACAUGAUGAACAUUUUGUAAACCCGAGAAACAAGAAAGCCCAUGAGGGUGGGGAAUUUCCAAAGAACUAGAGAACAAGGAAGCAGAUGUCUUUGGAUAAGGGUCAUGAUUAAUAACCAAACUCACCUGUGAAAAAAAGGGGAGGAGAAUAAAAAAGGCGGCGGCAGGCUCUCUGAGAGGCUCCCGACUCUAUCUCUGCGUCUUUUUCUUCAUCCUCACUCCCCCAUUCAGGUGCUGUUCGACAAGUGAUGGCUGGCUCCGUCACGGGUGGUGCCCGAACAGGGACUUGAAUACGGGGGACCAUAGUGAAGGACACCGUGGAUCGUGAGCUUGGAUAAGACGCUGAAGGUGCCAGGUGGCUGCCUGAAAGAUGGUUUGCGGGAAAUUCUCCUGCCCCUCAGGAUGAUCCCGACAACUGUCCUGCUGAUAAAUCUAAUGAUGAUGCUUAAUGAGAAGGUUUAUUGGACUUAUGUACCUGAUCCACCUGUUGUACAUCCAACGAGCUGAAAAAAUGGAGAAGUAAUGGUAUGGGUGAACAAUACCAGGCUGUUGCAUGAGCCGGCGGCCCCUGACAAGAACGAGGUCCGAUUGUUCAACUACACGGGAUCAGAAACCGGAACCCCCAUAUGUUUCUCCAAAAUCAACAGAACUGAUCGAAUAAGACUGAGUGCUCGCACCCUGGCAGGAAGGCAGGUAGAUCAGUGCAAAGGCGGGAUCACUGGAGUCCAUCUACAUCUACCUGUGGGUAUGGAGACCACUGGUGUAGUUAGUGCCUCUGACUUUUAAUGCUCCAAUAAGACUAUUCCAUGGAAGAGAUGUGUGGCGGAUGCCUCUGUGAGAUACAAUAUUACUGGAUUUGAUACUUAUGUUUUAGACUGGUCUGAAAAUUCUUGUCAUCCCAAAAGAAAUGUCGCUGCAUAUGUCAUGCGCUCUUAGGUAUUGCUUGUAGGAAAUAUUAGUGUUCAGAAAGAUUAUGAUUAUUAUAAUGUAAUUUACUUCAAUUGUCAAAUAAGCAAUUGUGUCACCC